rnacentral:miRNA from 1 species
AACGUCUUCAGAAAGGAGUC